AUGUUCACAUUUCUCUUCUCUGUUACUGUCUCACUGCUCUGUGCUGCAGGUCUUGUUGAGGGAGUGAAGUCACCAGACACCACCAUACUCUGGGAACUCAAAGACAGUGAUGCUCAGAUGAACUGCAGUCACACUAAGGGAUCUAGCUACUACCAGAUGUACUGGUACAGACAGCUUCCAGGAGAGGGAAUGAAGCAGGUAGUUUACACAAGUACUUAUAACAUACCAGACUAUGGAGCCUUCAGUGAAGACAAAUAUGCAAAAGUUAAAACUACAGCUAAGAGUGGAUCUUUCACAGUGAAGAAGUUGGAGACAGGAGACAGUGGAAUGUACUUCUGUGCUGUGAGUCAACACCGUGAUACAGACAACAA